CGAGCAGACUACGCGGCAGCGGAAACGUUCAAGUUUAUGAGGAAAGUCCGGGCAUCACAGAGCAGGGUAGCUGCUAACGGCAGCCGAGGGCGACCUUAGGGCAAGUGCAACAGAGAUAUACCGCCGCUUUAUGCGGUAAGGGUGGAAAGGCGAGGUAAGAGCUCACCGGAGCGCAGGAGACUGCGCUGCCAUGUAAACCCUACCCGAUGCAACGUCUAUUGGUGCUUCGUAUCUCAACGUCUGCUCGGCGGAUACGGAGUAAUGACGGCUUGAGCUUAUCGGCGACGAUAAGCGUAGAUAAAUUGCCGCGCACGACAGAACCCGGCUUAUCGGUCUGGUCAAACA
rnacentral:RNase_P_RNA from 1 species